AGUGAACGCUGGCGGCAGGCCUAACACAUGCAAGUCGAACGGCAGCACAGUAAGAGCUUGCUCUUACGGGUGGCGAGUGGCGGACGGGUGAGGAAUAUAUCGGAAUCUACUUUUUCGUGGGGGAUAACGUAGGGAAACUUACGCUAAUAUCGCAUACGACCUACGGGUGAAAGCAGUGGAUCUUCGGACCUUGCGCGAUUGAAUGAGCCGAUGUCGGAUUAGCUAGUUGGCGGGGUAAAGGCCCACCAAGUCGACGAUCCGUAGCUGGUCUGAGAGGAUGAUCAGCCACACUGGAACUGAGACACGGUCCAGACUACUACGGGAGGCAGCAGUGGGGAAUAUUAGACAAUGGGCGCAAGCCUGAUCCAGCCAUACCGCGUGGGUGACGAAGGCCUUCGGUUUGUAAAGCCCUUUUGUUGGGAAAGAAAAGCAGCAGGUUAAUACCCCGCUGUUCUGACGGUACCCAAAAAAUAAGCACCGGCUAACUUCGUG
rnacentral:rRNA from 1 species